rnacentral:lncRNA from 1 species
UGAAAUUUAGGAAAAUUUUACAAGAUUCUCAAAUUUAAUUAACCAGAAAUCUAUCAAAUUAAUUCCAUGAGUUUUUUUGGCAUUAUAUAAUUUAGGAACCAACCUUAGCCUAAGAUGCUAAUAAAUAAUAGCUUUCUCUGGGCAACUAAUUCAAUUAGUUAAAAAACAAAUCUUUUACAGUUCCUUUUUAAUUUCGUCCAUACCCCCAUUGUAACCAUGGGGUUUGAUGUAUUUAAGCACUAAGCCGACAUGGGGUGUGAAAUAGCUAUAUGUUCAAAUAGCUUGGGCCCUUGGGUGUUUGUCGACUUCAUUGGAAGCCCUCUUUUUGCUUGCUUCGGCUUCGGGAUUUGGGGACCCUCAGUUUUUUGCGCACAUUUUGUGAUGGUUGUCAGCCAUUUGUUUAAUGUAAUUCCAUUCCACUGACAAUAAUCUUUGCAUGCCUCUCCUCAGCUUAUUUAUAUGAAAAACAAAGGAUAGAUGGGUAGAUUACACAGUAUAGUGCAUUGAGAAAAUGUUUAUCAUUUCAGCACGGUGUAGGUUAUGAAGUACCAAUUCGUAGGAAGUGCAGAGUUUAGGUAGAAUCAGGGUUUGGACCCAAGCUAUCACUCAGCCAGAUGUAGUGAGUCCCGCAGAUGAUUGUGAUUCACAUGGUGGGUGUAUGGGGACCUCAUUCAUAUGUAGAUGAAAUUAAUUUCAUGGAAGCAUGAUACGACUCAAAUUUGAUGGUGGGUAUCGUAGGUCCACCAAAAGCAGCCACUUUUUAUUGCAAAAACUGUACGUCUCUGUCUCCCUCCAUAAUGGUGUUUUUCUGUUCUGUACCUAAAAGGGUUGCCGGUACGGUAUAAAUCGCCCGAAAUACAUAAGCAAGAGUGCCAGUUUAGAGGGGGGUUUUAGCCUUAAGAUGCUGCCUGGACCCCCUCCCAUAAUAGGUGUCACCUUCGACUACACACCGAUGCACACACCCACCAUUUUGCUGUCAAGUUACGUUAGGUCGGCGACCUCUUGGUUCAAAUAGCCACCCUCACUUCUACUUCACAAUGCUGUUUUCUC